ACUGGAUGAAACUGAAGUAGAGCAGCCACUGCAUGAUGGAGGAAUUCAGGCUUAAAUUUAAUCAUAUUUCCAAGGACUCAUCAUUUAUCCAUGCUUCAGGGUCACUUGUGUCUUUUGGUAAUCUUCUGCGUGAGAAAAAGAACUGGCAGAGAUGGUUGGAUCUAUGUCCAGAGUAUUUUGCCAAUUUGUGAUUCUCAGCGCAACCCAUGAUCAGGCUUCAGUUCCUGGCAUGGGGCUCCCUGCUCAUUACAGCAGCCAUGAUCAGAAGGUCACUGGGCAAGGAGGAUGACAAUGUCUCAUUCCCAGUGAAGGGGAAGGGCUGUGGAGCUGGUGCUGCCUCUGGUGAGCACUGCGGUAUUCUCCAGCUGUCAGUCAUCCUCAUUUGUUCCGCCAUCGAGCUUACCAGGAUUACUGGGAUGCUUAAAGCUAAACAAAAACGCAGAUGUUUGCAAGGUGAAGACCCAAGAGGCUUUUAAGAGCACAGGCUGUAGUUAAUUGCUUCUGCCAGGACAGAGCAGUUGGGGGCAUUUAGAACUCAACAGGAGUAAUAGUAAGAGCUCCCUCUCUAGAAAUAGAGCUUGUUAUCAUAGUAUUCAGAAGAAUUUGUUACUUCAAAGAAACUGUAGCCUGAAAGGCUUUAUCCUUCUGUUCAUAAUUUAAUGCUUUAUCAAACUAAUAGAUUCACAUUUGUUUGCAUUGUUCUCUCUGGGAGGUCAUUAAACAAAUUUCUGUCAGUGGAGUGCACUGAACUGCUCAUCUUCUGCCUCUUGCUGGUGUUUCAUGCUGGUACUGGAGAGAUGUUGCUUUCUUUUAUUUUUUUAAAUGUCUUUGCUUGACUUUUUCUAUUUCCUUUUGUGAUGAAGCAACUAUAAUUUGUACAAAUUAUGCAGCUGAUUUAAUUUGUGGUGAAUAAUUUUCUUACAGAUUUUGUAACUAGAUGCUAAUAAAUUCCUUCCAUGCUCCAUAUAGCAAACUUUCUCAUUCCUAAACUUAAUUGGGAUGCUACAAUACACUAAAAUAACAGAAAUAAAUCUAUUAACUUAAACUACAUACGUAUAGGCUAUACACAAAUAUGAUAUUAACAAAUAUAUGUAUACAAAAUUUGAUUUCUGUAAUUUUUCAUGAUAUUAUUCAGGAUACCAUAUUGAUUCAAUGUGAAGAAGGCAAAGAGCAAAGUGGAAUUCAAUAUUCUGUGUACUGAAAUGAACUUAAGAAUAUCCCUGGAGUAUCUGCACUGGGGACAAUGACUCUGCCAGUCCUGGGCAAUGGCAG